rnacentral:rRNA from 1 species
GACGAACGCUGGCGGCGUGCUUAACACAUGCAAGUCGAACGGAAAGGCCCUGCUUUUGUGGGGUGCUCGAGUGGCGAACGGGUGAGUAACACGUGAGUAACCUGCCCUUGACUUUGGGAUAUCUUCAGGAAACUGGGGCUAAUACCGGAUAGGAGCUCCUGCUGCAUGGUGGGGGUUGGAAAGUUUCGGCGGUUGGGGAUGGACUCGCGGCUUAUCAGCUUGUUGGUGGGGUAGUGGCUUACCAAGGCUUUGACGGGUAGCCGGCCUGAGAGGGUGACCGGCCACAUUGGGACUGAGAUACGGAGCAGACUCCUACGGGAGGCAGCAGUGGGAAAUAUUGCACAAUGGGCGGAAGCCUGAUGCAGCAACGCCGCGUGCGGGAUGACGGCCUUCGGGUUGUAAACAGCUGUCGCCUGUGACGAAGCGUGAGUGACGGUAAUGGGUAAAGAAGCACCGGCUAACUACGUG